CUCUACUGGUGCUUGAACCCAAAGGACUACGAGGAUGAUUAACAACUUAGUAAGAUUGCUUAUGUAAUGACAAAAAAGUUGGGGUAAAGAAUUAGGCCAAGUACAAGAC